UGAAACACAAACAACAGAACCUUUCUCGCUCAAUGGAUCUUCAAUCUCCUUGUAGUGCUUGCACUUCCCUUCACCGGAAACCUCCACUCGGCCGGCGACUAUUUUCUCUCAAUUCCGUCAACUUCCCUUUGAAUUCCGUCAAAUGCCGCCGGAAUACUACACCGAAGGUUCAAACUCCCGUCGCUGUCGCUGUCUCAGGCCAAAACGGUAGCAGCUAUUCUCCCUCAGUUCCUACUCACAAAGUCACUGUUCUCGACCGCCAACGUGGCGUCGUUCACGAAUUCCUCGUCCCUGAGGACCAAUAUAUACUUCAUACUGCAGAGGCUCAGAACAUUACGCUACCGUUCGCUUGCAGGCAUGGAUGUUGCACAAGCUGUGCUGUUCGUGUUAAAUCUGGGGAACUUAGACAACCCGAGGCAUUAGGGAUAUCUGCAGAGUUGAAGUCCAAGGGUUAUGCGCUUCUUUGUGUGGGAUUUCCGUCAUCGGACCUUGAAGUUGAAACACAGGAUGAAGAUGAGGUAUAUUGGCUUCAAUUUGGGAGAUAUUUUGCUCGAGGACCUAUUGAGAGAGAUGACUAUGCCUUGGAAUUAGCUAUGGGAGAUGAGUAACCUGUCAAGAGUUAAUUUGAGAAGACAAUAUGGAAUCAUAAGCAACAUGUACAAUUUUCUUGCCUCUCUUGCUAUAUCUGUGUGUAAUAUGCUUUCCGUGCCUUUUCCUUUGUGGAUUGGCUUUUCUCUUGUACCACUACCAUAUUGAAUAAAAAAUUAUACUCUCUUUUCUUGUCAAAA
rnacentral:misc_RNA from 1 species